AGACAGAGAGAGUUAAGUCCCGGGAGUGUUUCCUCGGCGGGCGAGAGAGAGCAAGACCGAGGAGCUGCGGGAGGCCUAAUACAGGAGUCCAGGAUCGCCGUUUGCUUCACACAUCAAAUUGAGUCUUCAAGGACCUUCCCGGGGUUUAACCAGACGGUUACACGAGCUCCACCAAUCAGAUGCAUCACUGGAUUGUUCAGGAUUGUGGGUAAUGAAGUACUUAGCCAAGACAUCGCGAAUAAAAGGCAUUUAUAU
rnacentral:lncRNA from 1 species